CCUACGGGUGGCAGCAGUGGGGAAUCUUCCGCAAUGGGCGCAAGCCUGACGGAGCAAUGCCGCGUGAAAGAAGAAGGUCUUCGGAGUGUAAAGGUCUGUCCGUAGCGAAGAGAGAGUAGAGAGUGAAAAAUGAUAUACUAGGACGGUAGAGGAGGAGGAAGCCCCGGCUAACGACGGGCCAGCAGCCGCGGUAAUACGUCGGGGGCGAGCGUUGUCCGGAAUCACUGGGCGUAAAGGGCGCGUAGGCGGUAAUAUAAGUCAGAUGUGAAAGGUGGGGGCUCAACCCCUAGAGUGCCACUGAUACUGUCUAACUUGAUUGUGGGAGAGGGAAGCGGAAUUCCUAGUGUAGCGGUGAAAUGCGUAGAUAUUAGGAGGAACACCAGUGGCGAAGGCGGCUUUCUGGCUCAUAACUGACGCUGAGGCGCGAAAGCGUGGGGAGCAAACAGGAUUAGAUACCCUAGUAGUC
rnacentral:rRNA from 1 species